rnacentral:misc_RNA from 1 species
UAGCCUUGGUAUUGUGACACUAAAUGGGGAAGUAACACAACGUGUAAUGAGUUUAUAACACAAUGUUAGUGCCACACAUGCCUUUAGUGUACAUUAGGGAACCAACAUAGCUGUUUGUACAACAAACCAUACAGCUCCAAAAAUGAAUGAGUAGUCUUCCAGAACUACAGCAAACCCUCCACCUUAAGAUUUCGUAACAUGUUGCAUCCUGUCGAUGUUGUUAUCAACAAAAGAUUCUUUACACUUCACAUUAAUUCCACACCUUUGACGAGGCAUUAAGGUUGAAAAGCCAAGAUUUAGUGAUUGCAAUCAUAUGUUUACCAAGGUUUUAGGUCACCAACUGGACCAGCAGUCCAGUUUAAGAUCUUCUGCCCAGGAGUCAAGAAAACGGUUCUGUCAUG